CCUACGGGUGACAGCAGUCGAGAAUCAUUCACAAUGGGGGAAACCCUGAUGGUGCGACGCCGCGUGGGGGAAUGAAGGUCUUCGGAUUGUAAACUCUUGUCAUGUGGGAGCACAGUAAAAGUUAGUACCACAAGAGGAAGAGCCGGCUAACUAUGUGCCAGCAGCCGCGGUAAUACAGAGGUCUCAAGCGUUGUUCGGAAUCACUGGGCGUAAAGCGUGCGUAGGCGGUUUCUUAAGUCGUGGGUGAAAGGCCCGGGCUCAACCCGCGGACGGCACAUGAUACUGGGAGACUAGAGUAAUGGAGAGGAAACCGGAAUUCUCGGUGUAGCAGUGAAAUGCGUAGAUAUCGAGAGGAACACUCGUGGCGAAGGCGGGUACCUGGACAUUAACUGACGCUGAGGCACGAAGGCCAGGGGAGCGAACGGGAUUAGAUACCCCUGUAGUC
rnacentral:rRNA from 1 species